rnacentral:rRNA from 1 species
CUUCGGGGUGUGACUGCGUACCUUUUGUAUAAUGGGUCAGCGACUUAUAUUCUGUAGCAAGGUUAACCGAAUAGGGGAGCCGGAGGGAAACCGAGUCUUAAUUGGGCGUUAAGUUGCAGGGUAUAGACCCGAAACCCGGUGAUCUAGCCAUGGGCAGGUUGAAGGUUGGGUAACACUAACUGGAGGACCGAACCGACUAAUGUUGAAAAAUUAGCGGAUGACCUGUGGCUGGGGGUGAAAGGCCAAUCAAACCGGGAGAUAGCUGGUUCUCCCCGAAAGCUAUUUAGGUAGCGCCUCGUGAAUUCAUCUCCGGGGGUAGAGCACUGUUUCGGCUAGGGGGCCAUCCCGGCUUACCAACCCGAUGCAAACUGCGAAUACCGGAGAAUGUUAUCACGGGAGACACACGGCGGGUGCUAACGUCCGUCGUGAAGAGGGAAACAACCCAGACCGCCAGCUAAGGUCCCAAAGUCAUGGUUAAGUGGGAAACGAUGUGGGAAGGCCCAGACAGCCAGGAUGUUGGCUUAGAAGCAGCCAUCAUUUAAAGAAAGCGUAAUAGCUCACUGGUCGAGUCGGCCUGCGCGGAAGAUGUAACGGGGCUAAACCAUGCACCGAAGCUGCGGCAGCGAACGUAUCACCCAAGACAACUUUGCGGAGUUGACGAUUGACGGAGCGAAGCGACGUCAAAGCGUUCAUUAAAGUCGAGUUGGCUUAGGGAUACGUUCGUUGGGUAGGGGAGCGUUCUGUAAGCCUGUGAAGGUGUGCUGUGAGGCAUGCUGGAGGUAUCAGAAGUGCGAAUGCUGACAUAAGUAACGAUAAAGCGGGUGAAAAGCCCGCUCGCCGGAAGACCAAGGGUUCCUGUCCAACGUUAAUCGGGGCAGGGUGAGUCGACCCCUAAGGCGAGGCCGAAAGGCGUAGUCGAUGGGAAACGGGUUAAUAUUCCCGUACUUGGUGUUACUGCGAAGGGGGGACGGAGAAGGCUAUGUUGGCCGGGCGACGGUUGUCCCGGUUUAAGCGUGUAGGUGUGUGUUCCAGGUAAAUCCGGUUCACUUUAACACUGAGGCGUGACGACGAGGCACUACGGUGCUGAAGCAACAAAUGCCCUGCUUCCAGGAAAAGCCUCUAAGCAUCAGGUAACAUCAAAUCGUACCCCAAACCGACACAGGUGGUCAGGUAGAGAAUACCAAGGCGCUUGAGAGAACUCGGGUGAAGGAACUAGGCAAAAUGGUGCCGUAA